rnacentral:lncRNA from 1 species
ACAGGAUAAAGUUGCCCUUACCAUCGAACUUCUCAAAAGCUACCUUGAAACCGCUUGACGCCAUUACCACAAGCAAAUCCUAACACCCUUUGCAAUCACACACCAACAAACAAAACCCUUUCUAGAAGAUCUAUAUGCCCUAGAUCCUCCUUUCAACCUUCUGUAUCACCUCUUCCCUGUGUAACACCUCUCCACCUCAAUCUGGAGAUAACCACAAAGAAAAUAAGAAGAUUUAAGGUAAAACCUGAUGUAGC